rnacentral:rRNA from 2 species
GAUGAACGCUGGCGGCGUGCCUAAUACAUGCAAGUCGAACGAGUUCUCGUUGAUGAUCGGUGCUUGCACCGAGAUUCAACAUGGAACGAGUGGCGGACGGGUGAGUAACACGUGGGUAACCUGCCCUUAAGUGGGGGAUAACAUUUGGAAACAGAUGCUAAUACCGCAUAGAUCCAAGAACCGCAUGGUUCUUGGCUGAAAGAUGGCGUAAGCUAUCGCUUUUGGAUGGACCCGCGGCGUAUUAGCUAGUUGGUGAGGUAAUGGCUCACCAAGGCGAUGAUACGUAGCCGAACUGAGAGGUUGAUCGGCCACAUUGGGACUGAGACACGGCCCAAACUCCUACGGGAGGCAGCAGUAGGGAAUCUUCCACAAUGGACGCAAGUCUGAUGGAGCAACGUCGCGUGAGUGAAGAAGGCUUUCGGGUCGUAAAACUCUGUUGUUGGAGAAGAAGGUCGGCAGAGUAACUGU